GACAGAGGGUGCAACCGUUGUUCGGAAUUACUGGGCGUAAAGCGCGUGUAGGCGGCUAAGUAAGUCGGGCGUGAAAUCCCACGGCUCAACCGUGGAAGUGCACUCGAAACUGCAUAGCUAGAGUCCUGGAGAGGAAGGUGGAAUGCUUGGUGUAGAGGUGAAAUUCGUAGAUAUCAAGCGGAACACCGGUGGCGAAGGCGGCCUUCUGGACAGUGACUGACGCUGAGACGCGAAAGCGUGGGGAGCAAACAGG
rnacentral:rRNA from 1 species